rnacentral:rRNA from 1 species
AGUAACGCGUAAAGAACUUGCCUCACAGCUAGGGACAACAUUUGGAAACGAAUGCUAAUACCUAAUAUUAUGAUAAUAGGGCAUCCUAUAAUUAUGAAAGCUAUAAGCGCUGUGAGAGAGCUUUGCGUCCCAUUAGCUAGUUGGAGAGGUAACGGCUCACCAAGGCGACGAUCGGUAGCCGGACUGGGAGGUUGAACGGCCACAUUGGGACUGAGACACGGCCCAG